UGCUACUCUGAGGACUCAUGCUGUGCCACUUUUCUUGGCAUGAACUGUCCCCCUACCCCCCUUUUUUUCCUCCUGUUGAGGGAAACUAUUAGUAUAAACUUUGCACAAAGAAGAUGUUAAAGAAGCCUGCAACACAAUGCCUUCUGUAAAAGUUACCUCCUAUGGAAACACCCAUGUAAGACUUCAUACUUCAUUAGCCACCAUGAAACACUCAGCUAUUAUCCAUGAUGUAACUAAGCAACACCACCUUCAUGUUAUUGAUGGGUCUGAGUGCACACAGAUCUUGCUGACUGGGACGAGCAUUGGUACACUCCCCUGUAACUGGAGGAAGAAGGGAACUUUUCAGGCAUGCGUUUUAUGAAAAAAUCCCAAUGGAAAAAAUAAUUCCCCAUGGGUUAGAUACUGGCUCAGAAGAUUGUGUCUGUACUUUGAAUUCACACAGGCUUCUUGUGUGAUCUUGAGCAAACCUGUGAAGGUGACAGCAUAACCCUGUGCCUGUGCUCCUUCACAGCACCUUUGGUAAGAGUGCAGGAGAUGAAGAUCGGUGGAUCUGCCCCAGUGGACUGCCUGCGGACUGGUGGCUGGGAGUGGUGGAAUGGGGCAGGGUUUGGGAAGAAACCUUUUACUAACCCCUUUGCAAAGUGCACCAGAUACCAUGGAUACAGG
rnacentral:lncRNA from 1 species